CGUAGGGUGCAAGCGUUAAUCGGGAAUUACUGGGCGUAAAGCGUGCGCAGGCGGUUUUGUAAGUCUGUCGUGAAAUCCCCGGGCUCAACCUGGGAAUUGCGAUGGAGACUGCAAGGCUAGAAUCUGGCAGAGGGGGGUAGAAUUCCACGUGUAGCAGUGAAAUGCGUAGAGAUGUGGAGGAACACCGAUGGCGAAGGCAGCCCCCUGGGUCAAGAUUGACGCUCGUGCACGAAAGCGUGGGGAGCAAACAGGAUUAGAUACCCUGGUAGUCCACGCCCUAAACGAUGUCUACUAGUUGUCGGGUUUUAAUUAACUUGGUAACGCAGCUAACGCGUGAAGUAGACCGCCUGGGGAGUACGGUCGCAAGAUUA
rnacentral:rRNA from 1 species